rnacentral:lncRNA from 1 species
AUUACUUUGAAGCCGAGAAGCCAAAUGCAUUAUUCCAUCUUCCACGCGACUGUUCACAAAAUUAAUAAAAUCAUUAAUGCUCUCAGGUGAACAGCCUUAAUUACCAAGAAUGGUGAUUCUGGAGAGUAAAGAGGAUUAGAUGCCCCUCCUAGGUUCAUGAACUGAUCCUACACCUUACACAUUGUAUGAUGUGAAAAGGUUUUUGUCAUCAUGCUUCAAAGUAUAGUUGAGAUACAUAUAGAAAAAUGUUGUCGAAAAUAUGAGAUAUUAAGAUUUAGGCUGAGGAGGUAUAAACAUGCUUACAGAAAAGAAACGUGUAUGAAUGUCUACAAAGACAGAAAGUUCAAUAUACAAACUCUAAUGUGUAAAAUAACAUCAUGUCACGUGAAGUUAAACGACAUUGAGUCAAAUGAAAUGCAAACCUGCACUAAUAGAAGAUCUUCAAUCAACUUAACUUAAAUGAUCAACCCCUGUUUCCUCAUCUUACCUGCGCUCUCAACUUCUUUCUCGCCUCGCGCGCAACACGUGCCCGCGCAGUGAGCGGCAGUGUCGCUCUUCUUCGUCAGUGAAUUACAAAAAGCAACAGAGAAAAGCGACUUAAACUGAAAUGACGCGCGCGCGACGUCGUCCUGUGCGCGAGCAGAGUGGAUGGACAAACUGGAAACUUCCCCCCCAGAUAUAUCCACCCCGCGUAAUUGUUCUGAACCGCACACCAGCGCUCUCCUCCAACUCCUGGAGCAGUGCGCGCGUCUCUCUCUCUCUCUCUCUCUGUUCUGUGUGUGUGUGUGUGUCUGUGUGUGUGUGUGUGUGUGUUUUGGCUGGAUCCUGUGGCCGUGCUCGCCCCGGGAUAGACAGACAGUACACUCCCAAUUACGCCGCGGCUCCUGGAGGGGUGGGGCCCCUCAGCAUGUGUCUCACUACCAGCCAGGACUCCAGUUCAGACCUUCACUGGACACUUUCACAGACUCAGGUCUACGGAAAGUUUACUCAACCCCCUGUGCUUCAGAAGCAGAGUGAAAGUAGAUGGGAACAUGCAGCUUUGUGGUGUGCUGAGCGACAACGUGGGAGUGGAGUGACCUGAAAGUGGAAACAGGUGGGAUAACUGCUGGGAGAAGAGAAGGAUGGAGAGCAGCUGAGACACCAAGAGGUAUGAUACUGUGGGAAAAUAAAAAAUAAAGUAGGAAUCAAAAGAAAAAUAAUAAGA